GGCGGCGUAGCCGAGUGGCUCAGGCAGGGGUCUGCAAAACCCCGGACGUGGGUUCGAUUCCCACCGCCGCCU
rnacentral:tRNA from 1 species